GUUUAACUUGAUCUUGUUACUCACUUACGGCAGAUGAGAGGUUGGAGGAUUUCUCUCUGAUCUUCUUCACUCAAGCUGCUGAAUCCAAGGCAAACGAGUUGUGUCUCAACCUUUCUUUAGCAGUGAGUGGAGGGAAAGGGGCUGUUCUCCAGGUUUCUGAAGUUUAGAAAUAAAACAGAAAGUCCCCUAACUAAGAUGAAUUUAGAGAAGUCAAACCUAUAACUGAACUAUUUUCAGCUCUCUCUUGAAUUGCACAAGAAUGUAAUUUUAAUUGGUCUUUUGAAAAUGACUUUAUCAGUUAGAAGUUGCUGUCAUGGAAAAUCUGCUUAUGAGAUAACUGCUGUGGGUGGAUUCAUUUUAUUUUUUUCUGUCAACAAAAAAAAACACUCAAUUAUGAGCGCUGAACAUCUGAAGGAGAUCUCAAACUACAACAUAUCCUCAGAGACAUCAGCUGAGCAUUAUGAAGUUCAUGACAACGCUGAACAACCCUGCCCAGCUGGGGGUGCUUUCCCACACGACAAAAAAGGAACCUUUAUCAAAUAAGGGGAAAAUGGGCCAGGUUGCUGAGAAACUCCUUACGCAGCAAGUUGGUUUGAAAAUGGAACAGAAGUCUGAGGAUCAGAUUUUCUCUUGGAAAUUGACUUGGAUCGUAUUAGACCCAGAUGAUUGCAUAUCAACCUGAGACACUUCUUUCUCUAACGCCAUCAAAUCAAAUUAUGCCAACUUCUGGCAACAACAACCGGAGAGGAAGGAAAAAGCCUUAGGUACAAUUAAAGUGAAGGGGAAAGUGCCUUGCUUCUGUUCUUUUACAGAUGGAUUUUUUUAGGGCAAUACACUGGAAGAUCUUGCAAUAUGAAGCAGCAAAAUGUUUAGAAACCCUAAGCUAAUAGGAAAGAAUUCCAAUUGUAUGUUCACUUCUGAAAACUUCAGGGUUUUUCAUUAAAACAUAUUUUAUUUACUCUGAAUAUAUUAUUUUUACUAUUUCCAGCCCCAAAGAUGGAACAUUUCUUUGAUGUAUGUGCAUUUUGCUGCUAUAUACGAUGACACCUACAGUUUACCUGCAAAGGGAAACUAAGCUAACUAUUUUUCUCAGGAUUAUUACAGUUAAAUAUAAAAAGAAGUCCAUAGCAUAACAGAAAUCCAGGAAACAGCCAGGUAAAACUAAAGCUGAAUGCUGAGCAUCACCAUCUGCCCUCAUGGAGAAUUGAUGAGAAUGAGUGACCAGCAGAAUUCUCUGCCUCCUAACACGGUCACCAGAUUUAGAAUGACUUUGUCACAGUACUACAGUAUCAUUCCUGUGUCCCAUUAACGCUGCUACAAGACGUUCCUUCACAUCUCAGGCACGUACAGUGGACACAGAGGCAGACCACCAAAAGUCUCUCUGAUACUGAGGUUACUUUGAGUUCUGUGGGAGUGUGGUUUGUAAGUUCAGCUGUGUCCAGGCCUCAGUCACUGAGGACUUUGCAUCCUUUAGGCAAAUGCAUGUGCUGGCUUGCUUGACAGAACAGCACAGAGUACACAGCUGAGUGAAGUUGUUUUGCAUGCUGGAAUCAUACAGAAGAACCUGGAGAGAAAAUCUGUAAAAAAUUUAUCAAAAGUGUUGAAAAAUCACUACCUCGAGUGAGGCUGGGCUGCUUGCCUUUCUUCCUUCUGAGGGUGAAUUGGUAGAGAAAGGAACAAAUACUAUCUGUUUUAUCUUCGGGUCGGUUUUCUCCCUCCCCCAGAAAUGCUGCAUCUUACUGAUACACACACAAAUUAAAAUCAAAGCGAAAUGAGUCAUCAGCACAGCCCUGGCCUGCAGGAAGGGAGGGCUGGUGGCACUCGGAGGAAUCAUCGUCUGCAUUUUUUCCAAACAAGAACCCAAGGACAAGAAUUCUGUUCUCAUGGCUAAGACCUGUGGCACGUGUACUCACAAUUGUUCUUUGGAAGCAAAAGGCACUCUAAAUAUUAACUGCUCGGCUUUAUUAGCAGAUAAUUAUGUAUCUGAAAGGCACUGAAAUCGCACUGCAACUGUAAUAUAAACUACAAUGUAAUUACAGUCUUUGUGGUGUAAAAUUACGACUGUUACAUAGUAAUGAAUUAAAGAUGAGAAAU
ensembl:lncRNA